UAGAUGCACUAUUGUAAGUCGCUCUGGAUAAGAGCGUCUGCUAAAUGACUUAAA
rfam:Salmo salar isolate Sally breed double haploid chromosome ssa06, whole genome shotgun sequence.